UUUUUUUAUUGGUUUAGUCUUAGAAUUUGUAAUGGAUUCUACUCUUAAUAUUAAAGUUCACAGACCAGUCCUUCAACAAUGAGAAAAUGUUUAAAUAAAAAAAAUUGUGUAUAAAAAUGUUUUGAUUUGUGUACAUUAAUCUGAAUAAUAAUGACUUUCUUUUAUUUCCAAUUCUACCAAGGAGGACAGAAGAUUAGCAGCCUACAGUGAAAGACUUGAAGAAAUAUAGGCAAUGUAAGUACGAUUAAGUGAUUUUGCUGUUUGUGGUGUUUCCUCGAAGUAGCUGGUUACCUCCAAAUGGGACGACAGUCAUGGAUGUUGAGAUGGCCUACGUCGCAGAUUCGCGAGGACGGGCGGCUGGGAUGUUCGCUAGCGACCUACGACAGCUACAGGCUUUCUGCCUAUGCCUGUAGAAGGGGACUUUGAGAUGUCAUGCUGAAGUUUUCUGGAGAUUAUCUGGUUUCAUUUUUGGGAAGCAGUCCACAUGGAAAAAUGAUGCAGCCAAACUAAAGAUAUGCUCGAUUGGUUCUUUCCAAUGUCCCUGUUAUUAAGAAGCAGGAAAAAUUGAAGAAUAAGAGAUGGAAAAUGUCAAAUUUACUUGGUCUACAACAAAGAAACCCUUUUAUUUUAUUGCUGUUCUUCAUAUUCAAGUUCACAGACCAGUCCUUCAACAAUGAGAAAAUGUUUAAAUAAAAAAAAUUGUGUAUAAAAAUGUUUUGAUUUGUGUACAUUAAUCUGAAUAAUAAUGACUUUCUUUUAUUUCCAAUUCUACCAAAUGGAGGACAGAAGAUUAGCAGCCUACAGUGAAAGACUUGAAGAAAUAUAGGCAAUGUAAGUAGGAUUAAGUGAUUUUGCUGUUUGUGGCGUUUCCUCGAAGUAGCUGGUUACCUCCAAAUGGGACGACAGU
rnacentral:lncRNA from 1 species